rnacentral:rRNA from 1 species
GGGUGAGUAACACGUAUCCAACCUGCCUCAUACUCGGGGAUAGCCUUUCGAAAGAAAGAUUAAUAUCCGAUAGCAUAUAUUUCCCGCAUGGGUUUUAUAUUAAAGAAAUUCGGUAUGAGAUGGGGAUGCGUUCCAUUAGUUUGUUGGGGGGGUAACGGCCCACCAAGACUACGAUGGAUAGGGGUUCUGAGAGGAAGGUCCCCCACAUUGGAACUGAGACACGGUCCAAACUCCUACGGGAGGCAGCAGUGAGGAAUAUUGGUCAAUGGACGCGAGUCUGAACCAGCCAAGUAGCGUGAAGGAUGACUGCCCUAUGGGUUGUAAACUUCUUUUAUAUGGGAAUAAAGUUGUCCACGUGUGGAUUUUUGUAUGUACCAUAUGAAUAAGGAUCGGCUAACUCCGUGCCAGCAGCCGCGGUAAUACGGAGGAUCCGAGCGUUAUCCGGAUUUAUUGGGUUUAAAGGGAGCGUAGGCGGAUUGUUAAGUCAGUUGUGAAAGUUUGCGGCUCAACCGUAAAAUUGCAGUUGAUACUGGCAGUCUUGAGUGCAGUAGAGGUGGGCGGAAUUCGUGGUGUAGCGGUGAAAUGCUUAGAUAUCACGAAGAACUCCGAUUGCGAAGGCAGCUCACUGGAGUGUAACUGACGCUGAUGCUCGAAAGUGUGGGUAUCAAACAGGAUUAGAUACCCUGGUAGUCCACACAGUAAACGAUGAAUACUCGCUGUUUGCGAUAUACAGUAAGCGGCCAAG